UCGGGAAUUUUGGGCAAUGGGCGAAAGCCUGACCCAGCAACGCCGCGUGAAGGAUGAAAUCUUUCGGGAUGUAAACUUCGGAAGAAUAGGAAGAAUAAUGACGGUACUAUUUUUAAGGUCCGGCUAACUACGUGCCAGCAGCCGCGGUAAUACGUAGGGACCAAGCGUUGUUCGGAUUUACUGGGCGUAAAGGGCGCGUAGGCGGCGUAAUAAGUCACUUGUGAAAUCUCCGGGCUUAACUCGGAGCGGCCAAGUGAUACUGUCAUGCUAGAGUGCAGAAAGGGCAAUCGGAAUUCUCGGUGUAGCGGUGAAAUGCGUAGAUAUCGAGAGGAACACCUGAGGCGAAGGCGGGUUGCUAGGCUGACACUGACGCUGAGGCGCGAAAGCUAGGGUAGCAAACGG
rnacentral:rRNA from 1 species